UACGUAGGGGCCGAGCGUUUGUCCGGAGUUAUUGGGCGUAAAGCGCGCGCAGGCGGCUUGACGCGCCCGACGUGAAAGCCCCCCGGCUUAACCGGGGGAGGGUCGUCGGGUACGGUCAGGCUUGAGGGCGGGAGAGGGUGGUGGAAUUCCCGGUGUAGUGGUGAAAUGCGUAGAGAUCGGGAGGAACACCUGUGGCGAAGGCGGCCACCUGGGCCGACACUGACGCUCAGGCACGAAAGCGUGGGGAGCGAACAGGG
rnacentral:rRNA from 1 species